rnacentral:rRNA from 1 species
GACGAACGCUGGCGGCGUGCUUAACACAUGCAAGUCGAACGGAAAGACCCUGCUUUUGUGGGUUGCUCGAGUGGCGAACGGGUGAGUAACACGUGAGUAACCUGCCCUUGACUUUGGGAUAACUUCUGGAAACUGGGGCUAAUACCGGAUAGGAGCUCCUGCUGCAUGUUGUUGGUUGGAAAAUUUCGGCUGUUGUGGAUGGAAUCGCGGCUUAUGAGCUUGUUGGUGGGGUAGUUGCUUACCAAGGCUUUGACGGGUAGCCGGCCUGAGAGGGUGACCGGGCACAAGGGGACUGAGGGACGGCCCAGACGGCUACGGGAGGCAGCAGUGGGGAAUAUUGCACAAUGGGCGGAAGUCUGAUGCAGAAACGCCGCGUGCGGGAUGACGGCCUUCGGGGUGUAAACCGCUGUCGCCGGUGACGAAGCGUGAGUGACGGUAAUGGGUAAAGAAGCACCGGCUAACUACGUG